rnacentral:rRNA from 1 species
UUUCCAGACUCCUACGGGAGGCAGCAGUGGGGGAUAUUGCACAAUGGGGGGAACCCUGAUGCAGCGACGCCGCGUGAGCGAUGAAGUAUUUCGGUAUGUAAAGCUCUAUCAGCAGGGAAGAAAAUGACGGUACCUGACUAAGAAGCCCCGGCUAACUACGUGCCAGCAGCCGCGGUAAUACGUAGGGGGCAAGCGUUAUCCGGAUUUACUGGGUGUAAAGGGAGCGUAGACGGCUUGGCAAGCCAGAUGUGAAAGGCUGGGGCUCAACCCCAGGACUGCAUUUGGAACUGUCAUGCUAGAGUGUCGGAGAGGCAGGCGGAAUUCCUAGUGUAGCGGUGAAAUGCGUAGAUAUUAGGAGGGACACCAGUGGCGAAGGCGGCCUGCUGGACGAUGACUGACGUUGAGGCUCGAAAGCGUGGGGAGCAAACAGGAUUAGAUACCCCAGUA